CUGUGACCGGUAAAUCUGAAGAAGUGAAGUUGUGAAGUGAAGUGAUAACUUUUUAACUUUUUAGUUUCUUAAAAUUUUUAAUUUUCUGUUGAAAUAUCAUUCGGAAACUCAAAAUGAGUCGUGGAAGUCGUGCUCCGCCACCAAGGAUUGAAAACAUGAUUUCUUUGAAGGUUGAUAACCUCACUUAUCGCACUACUUCUGAGGAUUUGAGACGUGUUUUUGAAAGAUGCGGUGAAGUAGGCGAUAUCUAUAUUCCUCGUGAUAGAUUCACUCAUGAAAGUCGAGGAUUUGCGUUCGUGAGGUUCUAUGACAAGAAAGAUGCCGAAGAUGCGUUGGAUGCUAUGGAUGGUAGAAUGAUGGACGGCAGGGAAUUAAGGGUGCAGAUGGCACGUUAUGGACGUCCCGCUCCAACGAGACAUGGUGGCAGAAGCAACUAUAGACGUCGGAGUUACGGACGAUCCCAACGUUCGUAUUCUCGAUCCAGAUCGAGGUCUCGUUCUCGUAAGCGUUCGUACAGCCGAUCAAAAUCACGUUCUCCGAGGUCAAGAAGUAGAAGUCCACCCCGGAAAUAUUCGCGAUCGCGCUCCAAGACUCCAUAAUUUUCAGCUACUAAUACGUGUUCUUUUCUCCUGGGAAGCUGUUCGUUGUCUUUGUUGUGUUACAUUCGUUGUACAAAAUCUAUGCAAUCCAUUCGUCGAUAAGGGGGUGAAUGCUGCUGCAUUGCUGCCGUUGAACGCAGAGACUGCCAUUUGCUGCUUAGCUGAAUUUUUGUUUUUUGUUUAUUUUUUUAUUUUUAUUUUUUUGAACAAAAAUUACGAACGAGUGCAGGCUGAAAAAUGGCCGUUUAGUACUCAGUAAGCAGAAUAUGCAGCCUUAUAAAAUGUAGCAGUGAUGGAGAGUGUAUUUUUGAAGUAGCGGUGUACCGGUAGCUCUGGAGUACGCGGGUCUUUUGUGUUAAAGUAUGAAACUUAAUCAUGUAUGUUUGAUCGUAGGUUUUAUAUCUUUUUAAGUACCUACCUAUUUACUUAGUCGUAUUACAUUUCACAACUUUAUAUGCAAAAUCCAUCACUACAAACUCAUCGUGUGCGAAACGCAAAAAAUAAUUUGCUGAUGCUAAGAAAGUUGCUAAACACCAAUAAAGAUACCUAUUCAGUGAUAUCUUGCACCGCGGCUAAAAACGAUGAGCUUUUGAUGUAUCAUUGCAUUUAAAGUUGAUCGAGUAAAAAAAUGCAUUAGCUUCGCUCUACAUGAAGUUCCAAAAAAUUAUUCGAGUUUAUGUUCUUUUAUCAUAAAAUUUCUAGCAUUCGGCAUCUCAACUAAUUAAUUAUUGUCUAAACAUAGGAGUGCUGUGAGCAGAAAGAUGUGCUGAUUAUUUUUUUCUAUCUGAGUCGGUGAUUAUUGUGUAGCUGUGCUAAACCUUUACGUGUAGCAGUAUUAUUUACAUCUCAGCCGGAUACCACCAUCUUGUAUCGUUUUCAUUUGGUUAACGUCAGCGACACAUUCAUCUCUUGCCAGACAAUUACUUACCUAAAUUUGUGCCGCCGAAUGUUUCCUACCAUAAUUUUGGUUAAUUUUAAGUACUAAUGAAAACGUUUGUGAAUCGCAUGAUAUCUUCUGAUUACGAGUAAAAUGUCACAUGGUUUACUAAUAUUAUUGUAUCCGAAUAAUACAUAAUAAAUGAGUUGAUAAAAUAAUGAAAAAUAUAUUUCGUUGAUUUAAUUAAUAUAAAUGUUCUAUAACAAACUGUAACUUAACAUUAGAAUUAUAAAAUUGAGAAAAAUACGCGCAAUGAACGAGUCUCAUAUAUAGACUAAAAAAAAAAAAAGAAAUCUUCAAAAAAUAAUAAUAAUAGAAAGCUGUAUAUACAAAAGAUUUACAAAACGUAUAUAGGUACUUAAUUACAGGUAGGUAAGCGAAAAAUAAUUCAAUAAUACAUACAAACAUUACUGUAACGUACACAGAGGAAAAUGCGAAAAUGUUCUUAGAUUAAGACGUUCCGGAUGAUUCCGGUUUAUGUUGAUUAAUGGACUGCUGUAAAGCUGAUGGCGUAAACCAAUCACGAGGCAAGCACCUCUGAAGAAAUGGAACACAGGAACUGAAAUAAGCUAAUCUAUUCACCCAUGAUGGUAUUUCUUGUCCACUCAGUAUCUAAGAACAAAGUUUAUCAAGAUUCAUUUACGAAAAAUCGUGCAAUUCGUACAUUAUCGAUAUAAUAACAUACACGAAUACAUGAAAUGAACGGACGAACGUU